rnacentral:rRNA from 1 species
CCUACGGGGGGCUGCAGUGAGGAAUAUUGGUCAAUGGACGAGAGUCUGAACCAGCCAAGUAGCGUGAAGGAUGACUGCUCUAUGGGUUGUAAACUUCUUUUAUAAAGGAAUAAAACGAGGCACGUGUGCCUUUUUGUAUGUACUUUAUGAAUAAGGAUCGGCUAACUCCGUGCCAGCAGCCGCGGUAAUACGGAGGAUUCGAGCGUUAUCCGGAUUUAUUGGGUUUAAAGGGAGCGUAGAUGGGUUAUUAAGUCAGUGGUGAAAGUUUGUGGCUCAACCAUAAAAUUGCAGUUGAUACUGGGCGACUUGAGUAUAUUUGAGGUAGGCGGAAUGCGUGGUGUAGGGGUGAAAUGCAUAGA